UCCUCUACAAAAGGACACGGUAGGAC
rnacentral:piRNA from 1 species